AAUUAUGUGCCUGAUUAAAGGGUUAAUUUGAUAGAUUAAAUUAUGAAAUUAUUUUUAUUUCAUUA
rnacentral:tRNA from 1 species